rnacentral:rRNA from 1 species
UACGUAGGGGGCUAGCGUUGUCCGGAAUCAUUGGGCGUAAAGCGCGCGUAGGCGGCCCGGUAAGUCCGCUGUGAAAGUCCAGGGCUCAACCCUGGAAAGCCGGUGGAUACUGCCGGGCUAGAGUCCGGGAGAGGCGAGUGGAAUUCCUGGUGUAGCGGUGGAAUGCGCAGAUAUCUGGAGGAACACCGGUGGCGAAGGCGGCAUCCUGGACCGGUAUUGACGCUGAUGCGCGAAAGCCAGGGGAGCAAACGGG